UGGGUGCUCCGGUGCUGGUGGCUGUGUGCUGGGGAGCUUGGGCUCCGCUUGCUGGUGUGGGUGCUGCUGGCACCCAGAGGUGCCCCAGCUCAGCCUGGGGGGAGCCGGUGGAAGGAGCAAAGGGGUGGCACGGCCCCGGCACUGCCCGUCCCAGCUGGGCUCGUGGGGGUGCAGCCUGGCAUCUCCCAGGCAGUCAUUUCUCCGGAGGGCCACGAGGUGGAAGCAUUUUCCAAAAACUCCUGCGGUGCCCUGGGAGCGCGGGGCCCCCGCCUCUGCCUUCAGCGGGGCGGGCAGCACGGCAAAGGAGCGGGGGGGGGGGGCUGUGGCGUGGGGAAAAGACCUGAGAAGGGCCGAGCAGGGACACGGGCCACAAGGGCAAAAACCCCAUCUCCAGGGAAAGCUGUCCACGGUGUUAGCUGCCGGCUACCAUCACCAAACCGAUGGGGUUACCCCUGGGUGUCUCACCCAUCCUCGCCACAGGGAUAUCCCGCAGCUCAGGGAUGGAUCUCCCGCAGCUCAGGGAUCUCCCGCAGCUCAGGGAUGGAUCUCCCGCAGCUCAGGGAUCUCCCGCAGCUCAGGGCUCUCCCAGCCGAGGGGAAAGAGCCUUGUGUUGUGCAGCUCGGAGGCAGGAGGGCAGCGGCACGCACUGCACAGAGCCGUGCUCCGUGCCCUGGGUCCCCCGUGCUUGCUCCACGCAGACAGCCCGCUGGUCGCUGUGUGCGCCUGCCGAGCCCGGUUAGAGCCCAGACAUCCCUGAGAUUUCACCAGGCUCCUCUCUUUCCCCUUCCAAACAGAGCAGAGACCUGGGUUUAUGGCAGCUCUGUGCAACCCCCUUCCCACCCAGAGGGGGGCCACCAGAUAUCCAGACUCCUGGGUCCCUCCCUGCGUCCCCACGCACCGUGCCCAGCUGCUCAGAGCCCCCAGGUCCCACCAGCAGCCUGUGAGCCUCGCUCCCUCCCUGCCUCCCACCCGGGGCAGGCAGCAGGGACCCGUCCCUGCUUUCUGGGGUCUGGCAGCACCCAGGUAACCCAGCCGGGAGCUGGAUUUGCCGCUUGGCGCCAUGCCUGA
rnacentral:lncRNA from 1 species